UACAGAGGUGGCGAGCGUUAUUCGGAAUUAUUGGGCGUAAAGGGCGCGUAGGCGGCUUGACAAGUCCCGGGUGAAAUCCCUCGGCUCAACCGAGGAACUGCCUUGGAAACUGUCUGGCUUGAGGCCGGGAGAGGGUAGUGGAAUUCCCAGUGUAGCGGUGAAAUGCGCAGAUAUCAGGAAGAACACCCGUGGCGAAAGCGGCUCUCUGGAACGGUACUGACGCUGAGACGCGAAAGCGUGGGGAGCGAACAGG
rnacentral:rRNA from 1 species